rnacentral:rRNA from 1 species
AACAAACGCUGGCGGCGUGCCUAAUACAUGCAAGUCGAACGGGGAAAGCUUUCGGGUGAGUACUAGUGGCGCACGGGUGAGUAACGCGUGGAUAAUCUGCCUUAGAGUGGGGGAUAACUAGUCGAAAGAUUAGCUAAUACCGCAUAAGACCACAGGAACCGAGGUUCUAGAGGUCAAAGGUUUUUCGCUCUAAGAUGAGUCCGCGUAAGAUUAGCUAGUUGGUGAGGUAACGGCUCACCAAGGCAACGAUCUUUAACUGGUCUGAGAGGAUGAUCAGUCACACUGGAACUGAGACACGGUCCAGACUCCUACGGGAGGCAGCAGUAGGGAAUAUUGCACAAUGGAGGGAACUCUGAUGCAGCGACGCCGCGUGAGUGAUGAAGGCCUUCGGGUCGUAAAGCUCUGUCGCAGGGGAAUAACACAAUGAAUGUACCCUGUAAGAAAGGAUCGGCUAACUUCGUGCCAGCCGCCGCAGUAAAAC